UUUUCCUUAUUAGAGAGAACCUAUUUGUGAGCUGGCUUAUUAGCCCUUUGUUUCUGCAAUGAGGGUGUUUGAGCGUGAGCCCGAAACGAGCUGCCGGGCAGCAGCUCAGGUCAUGUCUGGACCCUGUCUGCGACGGCACGUUCUGGAGGAGGAUUUGGUCUUUGCAGAAGUACCUUUUGGGACCUCUCUAAGAGUGCAACUGGUCUGAACGUGGCCAGGCUGGAGGUCUGUGGGACGGAGAAGCUCUCCAGUUCUUGUCACGAUAAUGAGAGCUGGUGUUUGCAAAACAGACGCGCUUGUUCAGGUGUGUGUCAUCGGCGGGAAGCAGAGACAGACUGCUCGACAAAUUACCACAGGCAGGCGUCUGUACCGCGGGCCUGGCGCCUGGGCUCUCUGCGGAGCCGAGGGAGAGCAGCAGAGCUGCUGGGGAGCAGCUCACACCAAAGCUGCCUCAGUUCACACUCGUGCUGCCCCGUGGGAACACGGGGCCUUGGCCACCAGGGCAGGUCCUUGUGCUGAUGCUGUGGAGAGAAGAGGCUGGAUGAGUCCCGGUGCUGGGGAGGUGGCCGAGUCCCUUCCCCUCCCUCGCGUUGCUGCUGGGCUCAGCCCUGUGGUGGGCCUUCUGCGCCCCCCCACGCAGCCUGGCUCUGCUGGCCCCAGCUCCUGACGGUGACCAUUCAUCCACUCUAAAGACCGGCAUGCUUUAAGGGAUACAGAUUUCUUUUUUCCUCUGACUUCUGCUGAAUUAAGUUUUAUGACAAUGCUGCAUCAAUAAGCUUGCAAGGUUUCCGCUGAAGAGACUUUGCAGGUGUGAAUGAUUCCUUUGGGGGAUUGUUCUGCAGUUUGCAGCCUCGUGCAUGAAUCUCUCCCGUGACUUUAAAGGAGAAGCAGCAAAGGGGAGGGUAGGAUUCACCCAUCGGUGACUUUAUCUCCUACUUCCAAAGGUCAUAUCAAGAAAAUAUUUUAGUCGGCUCUGUUAUCUGCUACUCCAUCUUCAUAUUGCAUAGCAUUUCUCAAGAGGAUAUUUUAAUACCAUUUUUUCUUUGCUUACCAGAAACUCUUAUAUUGGACAAACAAGAUGCAUGGCUCAUAGCUGCCUGCCGGAGUUUAUAUGUGGCUCAGAAAUAAAGUAUAAAAACACAUCUUUAAUAAUGCAGGAUAGGGCUGGUCCUUAAGUGAUUUAUAAACUUCAUAGAUAUAGUGAGUCACUGCUAAAGUAGAUUUACUGCUAUCUCUACACGAACAUCAUAGAAAUAAUAAGGCGAGCAGAUGCAAAGUUAAAAGAGAGUCCCCAUUUGUUUCAGCAUGGCUGGGAGGUAAAUCUGUCUUCCCAUGUCAUGGAUUUGAGUUUUGCUCGUGGGCCAAGCAGAACUUCUCGGCAGAAAACAGAAACGAGUGCUGUGAGGAAGAAAAUCAUUAAGAGACAGGGAGGGGGCGGGAAAGUGUAUGCAAAGCAGCUCUGGAUCUACCACGCACCCGUUCUCCAGAGAGCUGCAGCGCCAAGUCACUCCUCUCGUCCGUCCUCCCCAGCACAGCCCACCUUCACCUGGACACCUGCAAACUUGUCACAAGCAGCUGGGGACAGACAUCAGUUUGCACGGCUGAGACUAGAAAAAGUCUUCUGUGCCUCGUUGUCCUGACCAUGGCCGGCCACUGCAGUGUGUUCACUGUCUGACCCUGCCCCGAAGUCCUGUCUGUGGCUUCUGCCCUGAAAAAUAAUCCUCCCCGACCAAAGAUGGUAUAGGGGCAGGCACUGGGAAUAAUGGGAUUUGCUGACCAGUCUCCCAGAGAACAGCAAUAGGGAUUUUGAGAGGGGAAGAGGAUUCUCCAGGCUCCACUGAGCAUGCCAAUGGGCUCUUCAGCAGCUCUCGGGACUCAGGGCUGCCAAAAGAGCCCUGUCCCCACGUACCAACCAGGGACCUUCCCACUGCGCCCUGCUGGUGGCCACCCUGGUCCCCAGGAGAAAUCCUUCUCUCCUCCAGGACGGCCGCUCCGUACAGCUCCUCAGUGCAACCUUACAGAGCCUGAAUCUCCCAAAUGCGUUCAGCCAGCUGGGCUCUCAUUACUGAGUAAUGUAUCAUCAGGGUGACACCGCUGCUGACUAACUAAUAACAACUCCAGAUGGCAAGGAUACGUUUUGGGAGCUCCUGACCGUGAAGUAGUAGUCUUGGAAAAUCUGAAAUAUUAUCUUUUAAUAUGCUACAUUUAUUCUCUUUCAAAAGAAGCAGGCCUCAGAGGUGAACAGAUGGAAUGCAAUGCAAAGCUUGAAGAUCUCGUGGUCUUGGGCUUUGGCGUGUUCCUUCUGGAAGGGAAGGAAACCACAGUUUGAGAUUGAUGCCCACACAAUGCCUUUCUCAGGAUUUUCCUCUCAGUAGAUACCGAAACACCUCGUGUUAUGUUGUACAAAGUGAGUAAGGAGGAGGUUUGUCAAUGUCUUCACUCUCCGCUGCCGUCAAUAUGGAAACCCAAAUGUUAUAACCAGCAAAAACACAGCGGGAGUGGGCUGAAAACUUUGAACUCUUCAGGGAAAAAAAAAAUGACAUUUUAUACAAAUUCCAUUAAAAUACAGGUUCUUUGUGUUCCUAGGGCAGUAAAGGAGGAGCCUCUUUUCCUUUAUGGAAUGGAAAAAACCAUUGCUGAUAGCUGUGUUAACUGAUGAAAGGGUGGGCAGAGUUUUUAAACAGACUGGGAAAAGGACUCUUCAUCCGUCUAUUUUCUGUCUUCAAAUGAACAAACGGGAAAAAUAAACACGUAUGGUUUCUCGGUCCGUUAUUCUCCCUUCAUUGUCAAAGCAGAUGCUUGCUCAGUUAAAAAAAGACGGAAAGGUCUGUGGUUCCUGGAAAGGGCAUGUUUUCAUUUCAGCUGACACUUUUUGAAGCGAUAAGGAAAAUGAUGUGCUAUUUUUUCUUGCCAGAUAUCUGUUUAUCCUUGUUGCUGUGUCUCAGCCCUGGACCACCGUAACAGGGAGGACUUUUCCUCCUGUUGCUGGGUCGCUGCACAGCUAAACCACGAUGAGGACGGAGGUCUGCGUCGUGCCCUUUCUGCUGCCCGGGCCAUUGCUGGGGCUGUGUUGGGGCCCUGUGUGCAGUCACAGCUGAGCAUCCUGCAC